rnacentral:rRNA from 1 species
CAAUAGCGUAUAUUAAAGUUGUUGCAGUUAAAAAGCUCGUAGUUGGAUUUCGGAGCCGACCGGGCGGUCUGUCGAGAGACACGCACUGCUCGGUGGCUCUUCCUCUCGGAGGCCCUGGCUGCCCUUAACUGGAGCGGGCAGGGGAUUCGGGACGUUUACUUUGAAAAAAUUAGAGUGUUCAAAGCAGGCCGGUGCUUGGAUACAUUAGCAUGGAAUAAUGGAAUAGGGCUUGGGUCCUAUUUUGUUGGUUUUCGGGACCGAGGUCAUGGUUAAGAGGGACAGUUGGGGGCAUUCGUAUUCAAUUGUCAGAGGUGAAAUUUUUGGAUUUAUGGAAGACGAACAACUGCGAAAGCAUUUGCCAAGGAUGUUUUCAUUAA